CUAGCGAGCCCAACCUCCCACCCGUGUUUACUGUACCUUAGUUGCUUCGGCGGGCCCGCCAUUCAUGGCCGCCGGGGGCUCUCAGCCCCGGGCCCGCGCCCGCCGGAGACACCACGAACUCUGUCUGAUCUAGUGAAGUCUGAGUUGAUUGUAUCGCAAUCAGUUAAAACUUUCAACAAUGGAUCUCUUGGUUCCGGCAUCGAUGAAGAACGCAGCGAAAUGCGAUAACUAGUGUGAAUUGCAGAAUUCCGUGAAUCAUCGAGUCUUUGAACGCACAUUGCGCCCCCUGGUAUUCCGGGGGGCAUGCCUGUCCGAGCGUCAUUGCUGCCCAUCAAGCACGGCUUGUGUGUUGGGUCGUCGUCCCCUCUCCGGGGGGGACGGGCCCCAAAGGCAGCGGCGGCACCGCGUCCGAUCCUCGAGCGUAUGGGGCUUUGUCACCCGCUCUGUAGGCCCGGCCGGCGCUUGCCGAACGCAAAUCAAUCUUUUCCAGGUUGACCUCGGAUCAGGUAGGGAU
rnacentral:rRNA from 1 species